AGAGAUGUCGGAACAGAAAGUUUUAAAUACUACCCACCUGACUUUGACCCAUCAAAGAUCCCAAAACUCAAGUUACCCAAGGACCGGCAGUAUGUGGUAUGGCUGAUGGCCCCCUUCAACAUGAGGUGUAAGACAUGUGGAAAAGACAUCUACAAGGGGAAGAAGUUCAGUGCACAAAAGGAAACAGUCCAGAAUGAGGCACUGUUGGAGU
rnacentral:lncRNA from 1 species